AAUCUCAAUCCCCCCGGGUUUAUUGACUUGGGCCGGGACUUGGACUUGGGCGUCCUGCCGGUCGAACGGCUCGCCUCAAAUGACUUAGUGGAUCUCUCAGCAUCCGUGACAGACGUGAUAAGUUUCGUCUCGUCCCUUGCCGAUGAGUCCGCUCACAACCCGCCAUCGCGCACCUUUAGA
rnacentral:misc_RNA from 1 species